rnacentral:rRNA from 1 species
UACAGAGGGUGCAAGCGUUGCUCGGAUUUACUGGGCGUAAAGCGUACGCAGCCGGCCUGACAGGUCGGACGUGAAAGCCCCGGGCUCAACCCGGGAAAUGCGUCCGAAACCAUCUCGCUUGAGUAUGAGAGAGGGAAGCGGAAUUCCUGGUGUAGAGGUGAAAUUCGUAGAUAUCAGGAGGAACAUCUGCGGCGAAGGCGGCUUCCUGGCUCAUUACUGACGUUCAGGUACGAAAGCGUGGGGAGCAAACAGG